UGUGCGGGCCGGGCCCCUCUGACGACCCUCGUGCUGAAAAGCGCGAUCGUGAUGUCGGACCGCGUCG
rfam:Caulobacter crescentus CB15, complete genome.